CUACGGGUCGCUGCAGUGGGGAAUCUUGGACAAUGGACGAAAGUCCGAUCCAGCGACACCGCGUGGGGGAUGAAGGCUUUCGGGUCGUAAACCCCUUUUCUGGGGGAAGAAUAAGGUUGGGAGGAAAUGCCCAUCCGAUGACGGUACCCCAGGAAUAAGCAUCGGCAAACUUCGUGCCAGCAGCCGCGGUAAGACGAGGGAUGCGAGCGUUAUCCGGAAUUACUGGGCGUAAAGGGCGUCUAGGCGGUUGGAUAAGUCAUUUGUGAAAGCCCAGGGCUUAACCCUGGAAGGUCUUGUGAUACUGUCCGGCUUAGGUGUAGGAGAGGAGAGCGGAACUCACAGAGUAGCGGUGGAAUGCGUAGAUACUGUGAGGUACCCCGAUGGCGAAGGCAGCUCUCUGGCCUACUACCGACGCUGAAGCGCGAAAGCGUGGGGAGCAAAGGGGAUUAGAUACCCCGGUAGUC
rnacentral:rRNA from 1 species